rnacentral:lncRNA from 1 species
UAUCUGGGACUCAUAUCAAUAAUCAUACUUAUAAAUCGUAGCAUAUCUAUAAUCAUCUCACAUAUAGGAGGCAUCUCACAUCUAGGAGACAUAAUAUCAACAAGCAUAUCGCCUCUAUUAGACAUCUCAUAUCUAUAGGUUAUGCAUCAUGACCAAGAGGAAAAUCAUCUCUAUAAGCUCAAUAAUCAUAACUAAGAAGAAAAUCAUAUCUAUGGGCCAAAUAUCAUAACUAAGAGAAAAAUGCAUCUCUAUAGGUAAAAUAUCAUAAUUAAGAGAAAAAUGCAUCUCUAUGGGCCAAAUCUCAUAAUU